UAUCGUCUGCCUCUCUUCAUUCCGUUUGCAGACUAUUACAUAUGUAAACCACAUUUUAAAUAUCAACUCUUCAUCGACCCGCAAUGUAUUCAAAAAUCGUUAACGUGUGUGGACAAAAAGGUCACAAAUCUAAACUUAAGAUAUUGUGAAAUUGCAGCAACAACAACAAGUGGGCCAGUUAUCACACUUAUAUUGUUGGUUUAUCGAGGCCUGGACUUUUAUUAUUGGUGUCUAAGGUAGAUACCUGUCAAUUCAGGCACGUUAACAUUCAACAGUGGACCGACUUACAUACAGCAUUCUGUACAUUAAUCACAGUCAAAACUUGUAGCCUACAGAUUAGUAUCUUGCGUUUUCAAACGGUAUUCAUCCAAUGUGUUCCCACUGGGGACAGGUAGCCGUGUGAACGCAGGCGGAAGGGUUUCUGUGGCCUCUAAAGGAUUCUGUGUUAGCGGUUAACAAGAGUGAUUGGAGGAAACCCACUCAACCCGUUCAUGUCUCAUCCAAUCAGACUGGAUUAUGGUGAACGUUGUAUUGUCAGAGCCAGAAUAAAUGUAUAUAUAUGCUUAUCUGAUUAUUAAAGUGAAGAGUGUGUUUAUUUUAUCACACUAGAGUCAAUUGGAUGUAUGACCGAGCCAUAUUCAAAGAGAACGACAUGGAUAUGAGAUAUGACGCCAACUAACGUGAAUACCGUUUAGGGUAUUGGACCAUGCUGUAAUUCAAUUACAUAUUGCUCAACGUUCAAGAUUUUUCUCUUUUUUUUUCUCAUUUUAUUCCUAAACAAACCUGUGGAAGAUCACUAGAGAAACGUGAGAGCAGCAUCGACUAUAAUACUGGUAUUAUAGGGACCAUUCCUGCAUUAAUUAUAGUCAAUUACACGGAGAAUUGUGGAGAGGGAACACAAUAUUGGAGCCUUUAACAGCAAGGUUAUCUUAUAGGAAGUAUCAUCCAGAGGUAUUGUGUUCUCAGAGGGAACAUCCACCCGUGUACAACGCCCAAAUGAAAAAUCCUCACGUAAAGAGCAUGGAUAUAGUUUCGACGCCGAGUCGGCCUAAGACUCAGCGCAGGAAGUCUAUAUCAACUGGCGUUCCUUCAUGGGAUUCAAGGGAAAAGGAUAAAGACAAAAAGUCCACUUCCACGGGGAACAGAGCAAGAAGGGCAAGUAUGGAUUCUGGUGUUUUGGGAAUAGGAAAACUUUCUUUAUCUUGCCAAAAGGAAAAAAAUAGCUUGAACGAUAUAUCAGACUCAAGGUCAACGGAAAAACGAACCGGUCACUCUUUUGGUAAAAAAGACAAACUGUCAGCAUCAGAAUCCAAAUACUCAUUAGGAAAGAUGGCAUCGUCACCAAAACGAGGAUCGUCUACAUCACCUUCUGAACUAAAACCGAUUCUUAAAUCGUGUCCAAGAUUGACUGCGAUACACGCGUCUGUAUCUUUGGAGGACAUAUCUGCACACGCGGAUGACAAACUUACUCAGCUGCCUGAUUCUAGCAAGUUCUGCUAUCGUUUGCCAUUAACAACUGCGACGACCAGAAAGUCUGUGUCCUUCAGGGAAGAUGAUCCGGAGGAACACAGACACCGUCCUAGACGGUACUCCUCACCAUCACUUCAACUACCGCCCAGCCUCAACUUUCCUGCGAGUAAGGAGUUUAGUGAUGCCGUCAAUUCCUCUUGACAAAAUGAGUGAUAAUCACAGCAGAAUAAAAGGGAAAUGGAACACGAUUUUCACCUUAUCCUUCCUACGGUUUCAGACCGUAUCGUGUGGUUGUGAUAGGCCAUAUAAAAACAGCAUACUCGUUGCGAGUAGGACCGUAUGAUAACACUAUGUGAACGAUGGUGAGCAAUUUUAUUAGCAAUUGUAUAUGUUGAUGUGUGUCAACAUUCCAAACAAUUUUAAGUUUCUGUGAUGUCUUGAAUUUAUUGCCAUGUGUUGACCUUUAAAUCGAUUGCGUAAUGAGUAAGACAGUUGAGAUUAUGGUGCAAUAUAAAUCUCGAGUCAUCCGCCAUGCUGUAAUAUCGCAAUAGCUUCAUUUAUUAAGUCCAGUAAGACUGAAAAACACGUGUGCUGUGAUUACUCAAACUUGUACUGUGUUGUGUAUGUAAUGCUACUAAGUAUCUGUCAACAUAUGAGUGUCAAAAUUAACUCGGAAGUGUUUAGGUUUAAAAUGUGCAAUUUUUAUAAUGAAACUAUAAAACUAUAACACCAACAUAAAAUAUGUUCUAAAUGCAUAAUUUCAUUUCGUGUUCUAAUUUAUAUUUUGAUUAAUGAUUAUAUCAUCAUCAAAAAUUAUCCUGAAAUAUUACAGCCAAUGUGAUUUGAGAGUGACGUCAUGUUAUGAUGUGACUGAAUUAUUGCUUACGUCAGAAGUGUCAAUUUCACGGAAACUCAUUUUUUUCUUAUCACAACAUAUAAUCACGGGUCUUACUAAUUUGCAUACACUUUUUGUCUGUAGUAUCACUGUCCUAGAGUGACGAUACAGCACGUGUGUGACAUGCACUGUAUCUAUUAUAUCAAUUCACAUUUAAAGGUGCUAGAUAUAUGUGUGUUAACAAUCCUUUAUUAGAGAAAUAGGUUAACUCAUUUUAGCUGUUUGAGUUCCUAUCCUAUCUAAUUAAGUUAAGAGUGUAAGAAACUAAUUAAAUUGAUAACUCUUAAAAUGUUUCCAUUCCAUUUCUCUUAUAUUAUCUUUUUCAAAUUACUUACGAUUCUGUUUCUCUGAGAUAUUCUGUAUUUAUUACUCAAGACUCCAUUUAUAUGAAUCACUCUCUAAGACGCUAUCUGUCAUAUGUACUUUCUAUAUAUUACUUAAGAUUCUAUGUCUCUCUGUUUUAUUCUUUUUUAUUGCUUAAGACUCAAUUUAUAUGAAUUGCUAACAUUGAAGUAUUCGUUAUCUCUUAUUUACUCUCUAUAAACUACCCGAUGCUCUGUUUCUCUGAUGUACAUUUGUACUCUUAUACUCUAUAAUCUUAAGUCAUUUAUAAAUAGUGUCUCAAAUAUCUUUUAACUUAAGAAAUACAUAUAGUCUUAAAGAAAUGAAGUUUUAUUGUUUUAAAUAAAUUACUCUAUAAACUAAUAUUAUGUUCCUAUGAAAUAUUCUCUGUUAAUUACUUGAGCUUCUUAUUUUCUGAGAUACUUUUUUAACAAAUUACUUAAGAUUCCAUGUCUAUGAGAAACUAUCGAUAAAUGAUAUAAAGAUCCUGCUUUUCUAUAAGAAAUACUUUGAAUGACUUCAGAUUCUUACUCUAUAAAUAACUUUAGAUUCCAUUUCUAUAAGAUGUUCUCUAUAAUGUUUAAAUCCUUUUCUUUGAGAGACUCUCUACAAAAUAACGUUUGAUUCAACAACUAUGGAGGAAUACAUGCAUGUGUACAAGCUUUGUAAUUUAUGAUAUAUUGUAUCUUCUUGCCACUAUCUAAUCAGUUCAAAACAAGAGUGUUCAAUUUAAACUAUUUUGAAAAGGGCCCAAUUGAGCCGAUCAGCAUAACAUAUAAUUAUCAUAAAUCAGUAUGUUUUAGUUAUAUAUUUCAAGUGCUGCUUUGUUAUUUGUUAAUGAAUUACAAGUGAUGUUACAAUUGUUUUUUGUAUAUCUGGAUUAACUAUAUUCUAUAGUGCCACGCCAUAUAUGCCUAAAAUGAUAUAUUGUAAAAGUGUUAAAUUUCACGGGGCUAAAAUUUCGCAGUUGUCCAGAUUGGACCUAGUCCAUAGGUAUUUAAUUCGCCCCUGCAUAAUAUUCUGUUGUGAACAGUUCUAUACGUGAGUUUAGAUAUAUAAAAUAUAUUCGCUGGGUAUUUAUUUUCGCGCUGUAUCUAAUCACAGAUAAUAUAGUGAAAAUAAAUACCCCGCGAAUAUUACUAUCUAUACAGUAUGUUAGAUAACAUAUUUUUUUUUUAUGUUCCAUUUAUAUAUUACCAGUACUGCUUAUCACUAUAAGUAUUCCUUCAGACAUGGUAUGUAAAGCCCAUCAUCAAUGUAUCCCACAAUUAAUUUUCAUAACAUGGAUUCAAGUAUGUAAAUAUGAUUAUGAAUAAACCAGUGACUACAACACCUUUGUCAUCGGUGGUAUUUCAUACAGGUUUGUCAACACAAACCACACAUUAGCACCAUUGACAGCACCAGAUUUUAUUCCUACACACACUAUUUCUGAAUAGAACAUUUUCUUCCCUUGAUCAAUCGCCCGUACGAAAACGGUUCCUGUUACAUUGUAGAAUUGUUGUUUACAGAUGUAUAUUACAAAAUAUCUUUGUAUGUAUUGGCAGCGUUCUCUCCUGGUACGUACCUGAGAAUGUUUACCUGUUAGCGUUGUUAGACAAUCUAUUUAUCUACCUGUAGAUAGUAAGCGAAUUGUCUAGCCUAAACCACACUCAAGUCACAGCUGUAAAUCAGUGUUAUAAAUCACUGAACGUUUAUUUCAAAAUAAGGUACUUGGCGUAUUCAACUUAAAUAUGUAUCCAUUUUAAAUACAGUCUAUCCCAAUAUCACUUAUAUGGGAAUUACAUACUACUGUAAGACUAUACAUUUCCAGUUGUUUUUAAUUGAUGAUAAAACAAGACCUUUGAUGUUCUCCAAUAGAAAAUAGAAAUUAUUUUAAUCCUUGAAAUUCGCAUUCAGGUUAAAAUGUAUUUAAAGGUACAGUUCGGGUAAACUACAGUGGCGGUGUUAACCUAUUAACACUUGAUAAUAGAAUAUCAAAGAAAAAUGUCCGUCCGUCAACAUUCAUCAAUUUAAUACAUCCAUGUAAAUAUAUUUUUGAUUGUGGCUGUGUCCUUUCUGUGGUCAAGGAAUUAUAACAACAAUUUAACUGAAGUCAAAAGAGAAUCACCUUUCUACAUGUUGUAGAUAAAACAGGGCGCUAUACCAGGUUAGUUAAGUAUUUCACGUCAUCGACAAUGCAACGUAUGUGUUAAAAAGCAUAUGUGUUCAAUGGAAUGUUUGUUGAAAUGAAUAUGUUUUAAAUAGCAAACACGUUGUGUAUAUAUUAUUAUAUACAUUAAAACAAUUGGAAUUUGAAGAUGAGAGCCUCAAAGACGUUUUUGGCUUUUCUAAUGUGCCACCUGAUGAAUAUGAUACAAAACUUUGUCUGAGAAAUGCCUAUGUUUCUUUCAUUUAGUUUAACUAUUGUGCAUAAUACAUUAUAUUUGUAUUUACAAAAGGGCAUUCAAAGUCUAUCUCGUAACAAUAGUCAUUUAAACUGCAUUGUCGACAGCAUUUUAUUGAGGAGACGUUGAUACUUAAUGCUCACAGCUGGUGCUGUACACAACCCCAUAGGGUGUUUAUGCGUGCAAGACGAUUUAAAACUGCAACACAAUAAUGGCUUGAACAAAACUGUAUUCAUUACAACCGUGUCUUUGGAUUGUUAAAGUUUGUUUAUCGAUAUACAUCUGAUACAAUGGAGCUAAUCCGACAUAACAGUUGAAGUUUAAUUAUUUAAAUGUGAUCUUUUUGAAUUAAUUCUUAAAGAACACUUUGCUGUACUUCAUUUUAUGUUUUACGAUCAAUUUCAUGUAUUCGAUUGCUUAAUGUUUAAAUAUCACGCACAGAUUUCUUUAAAGGAAUGAAUAAAGCGUUAAAUACGUAGCGUGUGUUCACUAAAAAUGUCACGCAUUUGAAAUAAUGUCUUUGGCAAUAUAGCAAUACAUCACACUACUUUAUGCAUACGUGCACGAAUGUUAUAGACAAAUAUUGCUACGUGUUAUAUUGUAAACAUCAGCUGAAGUUAGUUAAAUACCUUUUAAAGUUUUACAUGUUAAAUUGAUGUGUGUCCAUACGUUCCUGACACAACGAACAGACGUUAAACAGAUUUGAUUUUUUGUUUCUUUUUUUUUUUAAAUAAAGUAGGUCUCGUUCAUAUAUGCUGCUUACACACAUACCUGAAUUAAAAAUAGUCCAUGUCGGUAUAGAUUUUAAAAAACAUUUUAUGUAACGGAAAAUUAGGUAUUGCUUAUUAUCAUAUCGAUGGAAGCGAAAGUAAAUGGCUAUGUGACAUUAUCAGCUGUGUACCCCAAUAAAAUCAGAUAUGUGCUCACACAUCCGUCUAUAACCCCUAUAUGAAUAAAUAGCACGAUUUUGUUGUAUACCCUACUUAAGCAUACAUUCAUGUGUAGAUUGUCUUCUUUUAGAAGCCGAUAUAUACUUGAAUAAAUGAAUAAUGUAAAGUUUACACAAGUAAAGACCUGGUUUGAAAUCCGUAGGUGAUUGAACUUUACUGAAAAGAAGGGAAAUGGAUUUGAAAGGACUUUUUUAUUAUUUAUGUUAAACUUUCCUAUAUCUGUUCAAGUUGUAAAAAGUACUUGGAAUAUUAAUGAAAUCUAUAUUGUUUAUAUUGCCCUUUCCUUGUCACAAUAUAUGACGUAGUCACAUUGUUAGAUAGGAAGUACUUGUACAUUUUUGAAAUUGAGAUAAAUCUGACAUGACGCGCUUCACGAUGAUAUAUGAUUUCUCGAGUCGCACGUAUGAUAUUUCAUGUCAACAGUCUUUAAAAUUAUGUUACAUUGUUGUAAUUGUUUGUUAAAAUAUGUCUGUUUCUGUAACAUUCCCAAUAAAAUUGUAUUUAUCUUUAA